ACGUAGGGGGCAAGCGUUGCUCGGAAUUACUGGGCGUAAAGGGUGUGUAGGUGGCUGAUUAAGUUAAGGAUGAAAUCCCGAGGCUCAACUUCGGAACUGUCCUUGAUACUGGUCAGCUUGAGGCUAGUAAAGGAGAGCGGAAUUCCCGGUGGAGCGGUGAGAUGGGUAGAUAUCGGGAGGAACACCGGAGGCGUAGGCGGUUCUCUAGGCUAGUCCUGACACUGAGACUCGAAAGUUAGGUGUGCAAAAGG
rnacentral:rRNA from 1 species